GAGCUAAUCAGCUUCCCAGUUUGCACAAUUCAUCAAGAAAUUAUGCGGGGUCACUGGCACAAAUGAUGAGGCAUCUCCUGGGAGCUUAACUUCUUAUCCAUCCCAUCUCUUGGACAGAUGAUGCCAGUUAAUUACUUUGAAUGCUCUGCUGCUAUGGUGAGCUGCACGUCUGGAGGCUUCACAGAGACACUGGGUGAAUCUAAAUGACGAGUUUGAUGGUGACCUGGAGGUGAAACUGUGACUUCAUGAUGUUCUGGAGGCGGACCUGGGGUCUCCUGCUGGGUCGGAGAAGAUUCGACCUCCCCAGAAGACUCAGAAGGCUGAACUGGCUGCUGCUGCUCACUGAUGGAAAGUUCAUGCUCCAUAGGAGGAACUGGAGGCUCAACUGGGGCCUCCUGUUGGGUUGCAGAAGGUUCCACCUCCUCUGGAAACCGAACUGGGGCCUCCUGCUGGGCUUGGGAAGAUUCUGUCUCAUUGGCAGGCUCUGAAGUUAUGGUAACCUCCACAUCUGCAGGUUUAACUGUAAUGUUGGGCGAGUGAUAAUCAGCUUGAUCCUCACCU
rnacentral:lncRNA from 1 species